rnacentral:rRNA from 1 species
AUUGAACGCUGGCGGCAGGCCUAACACAUGCAAGUCGAGCGGAUGAAGGGAGCUUGCUCCUGGAUUCAGCGGCGGACGGGGGAGUAAUGCCUAGGAAUCUGCCUGGUAGUGGGGGAUAACGUCCGGAAACGGGCGCUAAUACCGCAUACGACCUGAGGGAGAAAGUGGGGGAUCUUCGGACCUCACGGUAUCAGAUGAGCUUAGGUCGGAUUAGCUAGUUGGUGGGGUAAAGGCCUACCAAGGCGACGAUCCGUAACUGGUCUGAGAGGAUGAUCAGUCACACUGGAACUGGGACACGGUCCAGGCUCCUACGGGAGGCAGCAGUGUGGAAUAUUGGACAGUGGGCGGAAGCCUGAUCCAGCCAUGCCGCGUGUGUGAAGAAGGUCUUCGGAUUGUAAAGCACUUUAAGUUGGGAGGAAGGGCAGUAAGUUAAUACCUUGCUGUUUUGACGUUACCAACAGAAUAAGCACCGGCUAACUUCGUG